GCACAGUGACCAGUAUUUUCAUAUCUGGAACAGGUACAGCAACAUUUCAUAAAUAGUUCCCUCUCGUCAGGUAUUUAAGGAAUGUUCAGCUCAGCCACGUAAAGUUCCGAUGAAUCUGCUUUAUGACUUCAGUACAGGUAUUGUUGAACUGUUGGUACAUUGAACUGUGCCGCCAGCAGUCAGAGUUCACCUUUAAACUUACAGAUUAUAUAUUGCAACAGCAGCAACUCAUUUACAGUGACAGUGUUAAAUGGGGUGUGUAAUCUGAUGGUGUUUUUUAGGAAUGCAACUGGAAUGGUUCUGGAAUCACUUUAGAAUGGUUCAAGGUUCUAAUCUAGAUUGUAGAAUGUAGGUCAGGUUGUUCUCUAACUGACACACUGCUAGACAGCAAACAGACCUAAAACCACCAGCUAAUAACCCUAUUGACCUAUCAAUGGUCAAUACAGGGAUUGUAUUUGUACAGGUAUGUAAUGUGCAUUGAUUGCCUCUACAGAAUACAAAUAUGACAUGCCUGAAAGUCUUUAUGCUAUAUCACAGUUCCAGCCCCAUAUGCUGCUUAAUAUAUAUGGCUGGGAGUCUCUCUCUCUCCUUGAUAUAGUCAUAUACUUAGAACAUAGUCUAAUCCAACUAAACACAACGUCCUGAAACUGUCUUGCUCCCUGAGCAGUUGGAUCCCCUAUUAGUUCAUCAAGCUAACGCUCUCUGAAAUAUCCUGGCUGAUCGCUCCAUGUUAUGUACUGUAUGGGGAAUAUGCUCCUGGCUGAUCUCUCCAUGUUAUGUACUGUAUGGGGAAUAUGCUCCUGGCUGAUCUCUCCAUGUUAUGUACUGUAUGGGGAAUAUGCUCCUGGCUGAUCUCUCCAUGUUAUGUACUGUAUGGGGAAUAUGCUCCUGGCUGAUCUCUCCAUGUUAUGUACUGUAUGGGGAAUAUGCUCCGGGCUGAUCUCUCCAUGUUAUGUACUGUAUGGAGAACAUGGCGUGAGUGGUGAGUCAACUAAAACAUGAACAAGACUUGAGAGUAAAGACCAGAUAGAGGAUGAAGCUUAUUCAUGCAUUACUUAACAUUACUGCCUUCUUGCCUGUUUCUUAUUCCUCUGAGGUAGCUAAUGCCUGGUGCUGCUGCACUACAGAGGUUAGCAUGACACGCUAACUGACGCUAACACGGUGCUGCUGCUCCACAGAGGUUAGCACGACACGCUAACUGACCCUAACACGGUGCUGCUGCUCUACAGAGGUUAGCACGACACGCUAACUGACCCUAACACGGUGCUGCUGCUCUACAGAGGUUAGCACGACACGCUAACUGACCCUAACACGGUGCUGCUGCUCUACAGAGGUUAGCACGACACGCUAACUGACCCUAACACGGUGCUGCUCUACAGAGGUUAGCACGACACGCUAACUGACCCUAACACGGUGCUGCUGCUCUACAGAGGUUAGCACGACACGCUAACUGACCCUAACACGGUGCUGCUGCUCUACAGAGGUUAGCACGACACGCUAUCAUAGUGCUGUUGCUGUACUACAUAUGUGAGCACGACACUCUAACACAUUCACAGCCAUGCAGCUCUCACUGUGGGCUCAACUCAUCACUGGAUGGAUGUAUGAAGUCACAUAUUACACUGACGGAUGGAUGGUCCUGGUCCUCUAGAGGACAGACAGACAGACAGACCAGACAGACAGACCAGACAGACCAGACAGACAGACAGACAGACAGACAGACAGACAGACAGACGGUCCUGGUUCUCUAGAGGAGAGACAGACAGGCAGACAGACGGUCCUGGUUCUCUAGAGGAGAGACAGACAGACAGACAGACAGACAGACAGACAGACAGAUGGUCCUGGUUCUCUAGAGGAGAGAGAGACAGACGGUCCUGGUCCUCUAGAGGAGAGACAGACAGACAGACAGAUGGUCCUGGUUCUCUAGAGGAGAGACAGACAGGCAGACAGACGGUCCUGGUUCUCUAGAGGAGAGACAGACAGACAGACAGACAGACAGACAGAC
rnacentral:lncRNA from 1 species